UACGAAGGGGGCAAGCGUUGUCCGGAAUCAUUGGGCGUAAAGCGCGCGUAGGCGGCCCGGUAAGUCCGCUGUGAAAGUCAAAGGCUCAACCUUUGAAUGUCAGCGGAUACUGCCGGGCUAGAGUCCGGAAGAGGCGAGUGGAACUCCUGGUGUAGCGGUGGAAUGCGCAGAUAUCAGGAAGAACACCAACGGCGAAGGCAGCUCGCUGGGACGGAACUGACGCUGAGGCGCGAAAGCGUGGGGAGCGAACAGG
rnacentral:rRNA from 1 species